UCCCAGGGGACGCGCGCGGGGUGCCCGAGCAGAGGGGCAGCGUUUGGCAGGGCGAAGUUUUUUGGGCCCUGCCCGGGCAGCGCAGCACCAAACGUGCUGCGGUGCUGCCCCCGGACGGGCAGGGCACGGGGUCGGAGGCGUGCUGGUCCCUCGGCAGGGAAAAAAGGAAAAUAAGACACACCGGCGGAGGGAAGGCCGAGCUUUAACCAAGGGCAGGGAGAAGGCAUUGCAUAAACUGCAAAGGCGCGGCGCUGGAAACGGGCUGGGCGCGGGCCUCGCUCCGCUCCCAGCUGAAUUAAGGGGAGUUUCACCGCUGGCUUAACGGGAAUAAAGGCAGGCUGUGUCCCAAAACCCCGUUCUUUAGAAGUUAGUCUGAGAUAGAUUAAUUGGAAACAGGCUUAGAAGAGCCAGUUACACGCAAACGUUGGAAAGAGUCCUGCAAAACUCCCUCCAGUCUACGAGCAAACGCUUCUGUAAAACUUCAGGAUUACAUCCGAAACUGAAGGAUCAGCGGCCCACGAUUUGCAUCCACCAAAAUCAACCAUUCCCUUUAAUUUUCGCUCUGAUUUUCCUCUAAAUCCUAUUUUUUUCUCCCUGGGUUGCGUUUCCCCACAGCUAGAUAUGAAACUCCUGCUUAAACCGAACGAUGAGCGCUGCGAUCUUGACAUGCCUUUCCCAGAAAUGUGUAACACUGCCUGGAGAGCUGUGCCAAGAUCAAACUGCUUCGGAUUGAAGAAUUCAGCCUGCUUGGAAAAGGAGAUAAGAAUCUGCGCCUUUUUUUUGUUGUGUUGUUUUAAAGGAACGUUUAAGGUGGCAAACACGGAGUUUAGCUACUGAAAGGCAGUUGACUAAUGAAAAGCUUCCUAAACGGUGAAAUACCACUCAGCUCCAGCAAGCAUAUUCUGUUUCAAUCGCUGCGUACGUGGGCGUACAAUAUUUUUCACAGAUUGCCCGCAAAACUCAUCACUACUUAUAUGAUAAUAUUUGGGGGCUGAAUUUAUUGCUGGCUGGAAUAAGUGCCUUUCUUCAGCCCUCUGAAGUAAUUCCUUAGGUUGCCAUGUUGCCGCAGCACUCCAUGAGCCGAUACAAGAGUUGGAAAUCCCAUCACCCAGGUUCUGCUCCUGUGUCUCAGCUGCCUAAAGGGAAGCCCUCUGAACUCACCAGCUUGCUGCAUUUUUGGUGCCUGAGAAAAGUGACCAGCCAGCAGUGUUUGUCCGGUCCUUAACAGGAUACCAGGAACCGGGAAAAAACAAGCACUUAGAAAUCAGAAAUCAUCCUUAGCAUUCCUAAUAAGCCUUAACCUUUCCAGUGAUGCAGAGGGCAAUUAUUGCACUUUUUACCCUCCAUGAAGUGCAGGUCUAUGCCUGAAUUUGGUUUCUGCCUCCAGCACUGGUUUCUCCCGUUCCUUUGGGCUGUUAUUUGACACACUUCUGUCUCUGCUGCUCAGCUGCCUAUAAAACAAGGAUGAGACAUCCUAGGUUUCCCUGGGAUGCUUUCCAAUGAUUGUAAUAACUGAGUUUUGAUGCUAACAUGUAAAUAGAUGGAAGAAUGCUAAAUAUU